GGCGAGUACUGCUCCAAGAUAUGGCAACCGUGACAGCUUUGCGAGUAGCUCCAGGUCCCCUGCUGCUCCGUGAGAAAUCAAACUUCUGGCAAUGACGAAGCAUGAAGCCAGCAUCUCAGGGAGAGGUGAGAAAACUGACACUUGGAGAGGUAGAGUAGCUUUAUUUACUUCACACAAGCUUUUGAUGAAUUUCAAGUCUCAACCUAGAAGUCUUCCUCUAAGGUUCGUGCUUUCACGCACCUGUAAUUCAAAUACUGAUGAAAACAAAACUAUUGCCCUCCUACCAAAUGGUAACAAUGGAAAUUAAUGUUAUGACUGGAUAAGACAAUUGUGAAGAAACUGCACUUCGAGGUUGUCUGUCUCCGUAUUCCGAUGGAAAAGGCUGGACUUUAGAAGCAUUGCUCGCUCCUUCAGUUUCUAACAAGCCAGUUCUUGGAGAUACUAGGAAGCCAAGAGUUUCCUCCAGGAAUGGAGAUUCCUUGGAAGUGAGGUUCACCUUGAGUCAAGAAAGACGAAUCACACACGGUCAAAGGCAAUUGCCCAGGGUCUCAAGAACAGAGCCAGAAAGAAGAGCUGGGGCCGGCGGGAUUGUGGGGGUCCUCUCUCCCACCUGAAAAGCUACAGCUGCCUGCCGAUCCUCUCAAGAGGAGACCUCUCUGGGCUCCAGCACCUAAAACAGACAAACCUGGGAGGAUGCUUCUCUCUUCUGUGUCACACGUGUCCUGGAGAAAACCCAUGUAUCUGAAUGACCAAAGAAAAGUAUGAGAAAAAGUGCAAAAUCUGUGCCAGGCCAUUCAGUGUCUGGCUGGGGCUCUGGGGUGCACAUGCAUUCCAAGAAGACUGAAGGGUGCCAAGCCUGCAGGAAAUGUCCAUCAGACCUGCCUCUCACACCUGGAGUAGGACUGCCCGUCCAGCUUCAUGAUGCAGAACUGUCUUUAAAAGGUGACUGCAGAUAUGGAGAGAGGGAAUUCUAACCCUGAUAGAACAUGACCAGCUGUCCUGCUGGGGAAAGCUGCAUCUACCAGUGACACGCUGCUCAAACUGGCCCAGGACACACUCUUACUACUUAAGGAAUAAGCCCCACAUUUGCUCUUUGUGGGUAAAAGGAGAGGGUGAGAGAGGAGGGGAGUGUCCGCACAGACAUGAGAAGCCUGCAGAUCCAGAUGACCCCUUGCUGAUCAGAAUAUGAAAGAUCGAUAUGCGGAAACAAUGACCCCAUAGCAGAUGAGCUUCUAGAGCAGGCUUCAACCAUGGGUCAUCUGGACCCACUGGUGGAGAAGUCUGCCCCCACUCUAUGUUGAUGGUCUGGGGGAUACCAUUACUGAGACAGAUUUAAGAAAUAAUCUCUACCUGUUGGCGAAAUCUGGAUGGUCACUUGUGCGAGACAGCAGUGUGCUCUCAUCAGCUUUCCACAGGGCAGGCUGCGGAAAUGGUGCUGAGAAGUCCUUUUGUAAAUUGAUUGUCCAUGGCUGCAGACUUACCAUCAAA
rnacentral:lncRNA from 1 species